AUGCCAGGAGGGGGAGGAGCUCUGGCGGUGGGCGCCGGCGUCAGCGCCGGCGUGGCCUCCGGCUACAGCAGCGAGAUCACGUUCACGGUGGUGAUGAGCUGCCUCAUGGCGGCCUCCGGCGGGCUCAUUUUCGGCUACGACAUCAGUAUUACAGGCGGGUUGACGCAGAUGCGGUCGUUCCUGGAGGCCUUCUUCCCGGAGAUCAUCAAGAAGGUGGAUAGCGCGCAGCAGGACGCCUACUGCAUCUUCGACAGCCAGGUGCUCACCACCUUCGUCUCCUCGCUCUACCUCGCCGGCGUCUUCGCCUGCCUGGUCGCCGGCCACGUCACGAGGAAGGUGGGCCGGAGGAACUCCAUGCUCAUCGGCGCCUCGUUCUUCUUGGUCGGCGCCAUCCUCAACUGCGCCGCUGUCAACAUCUACAUGCUCGUCAUCGGCCGCAUCUUCCUCGGUUUUGCUGUUGGCUUCACCAACCAGUCCGCACCUGUGUACUUGGCGGAGAUCGCGCCGGCGCGGUGGCGCGGGGCGUUCACGAGCAUCUUCCACUUCUUCCUCAACGUGGGUAUGUUCGUGGCCGACCUGGUCAACUACCGCGCCAACACAAUCCCAGGGUGGGGUUGGCGCCUCUCCCUCGGCGUUGGCAUCAUCCCGGCCGUCGUCAUCCUCGUCGGCGCCGUCUUCAUCCCGGACUCGCCCAACAGCCUCGUGUUGCGCGGGAAAGUCGCCGAGGCCCGCCACUCACUGCGUCGGAUCCGCGGGCCGGCCGCUGACGUCGACGUCGAGCUCAAGGACAUCAUGCGUGCCGCGGAGGAGGGCGGCCGACACAAGUCCGGCGCAUUCCGACGGAUCCUGAUGCGCGAGUACCGGCCCCACCUGGUCAUGGCGAUCUUCAUCCCGCUCUUCUUCGAGCUGACGGGUAUGAUCGUGGUCACGCUCUUCGCGCCGCUCCUCUUCUUCACCAUCGGGUUCACGAGCCAGAAGGCCAUUCUCGGCUCCAUCAUCACCGACGUCGUCAGCCUGGCGUCCAUCUCCGUGGCCGCGCUCUCCGUCGACCGCUUCGGACGCCGCUUCCUCUUCAAGCUGGGCGGUGGCAUCCUGCUCGUGUGCCUAGUGGGGAUGACGUGGAUCUUCGGCGCAGAGCUGGGCAGCAACGGCGGGAAGGCGAUGCCGAGGCCCUACGCGGUGGCCGUGGUGGCGCUGGUGUGCCUCUUCGUGGCCGGGUUCGGCAUCUCCUGGGGGCCGCUCAAGUGGAUCAUCCCCAGUGAGAUCUUCCCGCUCGAGGUGAGGUCCGCGGGGCAGAGCAUGAGUGAGUCCAUCUCGCUCACGCUCACCUUCGUGCAGACGCAGUCCUUCCUCGCCAUGCUAUGCAGCUUCAAGUAUGGCUCCUUCGCCUACAAUGCCGCUUGGGUCGUCGUCAUGACGGCAUUCAUCAUCGCCUUCCUUCCAGAGACCAAGGGCGUGCCCAUAGAGGCCAUGGGUGCGGUCUGGUCACGCCAUUGGUACUGGAAACGCUUCGUCAAACCGGCACCGGAGCCCACGCCCGCACCAGACAAACUGGCUGACGGGUCGCUUGAAAUGUAA
rnacentral:rRNA from 1 species